GACGAACGCUGGCGGCGUGCUUAACACAUGCAAGUCGAACGGACAGGCCCUGCUUUUGUGGGGUGCUCGAGUGGCGAACGGGUGAGUAACACGUGAGUAACCUGCCCUUGACUUUGGGAUAACUUCAGGAAACUGGGGCUAAUACCGGAUAGGAGCUCCUGCUGCAUGGUGGGGGUUGGAAAGUUUCGGCGGUUGGGGAUGUACUCGCGGCUUAUCAGCUUGUUGGUGGGGUAGUGGCUUACCAAGGCUUUGACGGGUAGCCGGCCUGAGAGGGUGACCGGCCACAUUGGGACUGAGAUACGGCCCAGACUCCUACGGGAGGCAGCAGUGGGGAAUAUUGCACAAUGGGCGGAAGCCUGAUGCAGCAACGCCGCGUGCGGGAUGACGGCCUUCGGGUUGUAAACCGCUUUCGCCUGUGACGAAGCGUGAGUGACGGUAAUGGGUAAAGAAGCACCGGCUAACUACGUG
rnacentral:rRNA from 1 species